rnacentral:rRNA from 1 species
UACGGAGGGUGCAAGCGUUGUCCGGAUUUAUUGGGUUUAAAGGGUGCGUAGGCGGCUUACUAAGUCCGGGGUGAAAGACGGUCGCUUAACGAUCGCAGUGCCCUGGAUACUGAUAAGCUAGAGUACAGGCGAGGCUGGUGGAACGGGUGGUGUAGCGGUGAAAUGCAUAGAUACCAUCCAGAACACCGAUUGCGAAGGCAGCCAGCUAGACUGUUACUGACGCUGAGGCACGAAAGCGCGGGGAGCAAACAGG